GAGCACGUAGGUGGGUUUGUAAGUCAGAUGUGAAAGCCUUCUGUUCAAAGGAAGAACGGCAUCUGAAACUGCAGAUCUUGAGUGUAGGAGGGGAGAGUGGAACUUCUGGUGGAGCGGCGAAAUGCGUAGAUAUCAGAAGGAACGUCGGCGGCGAAAGCGACUCUCUGGCCUAUUACUGACACUGAGUGUGCGAAAGUUAGGGGAGCAAACGGGAUUAGAUACCCCGGUAGUCCUAACUGUAAACGAUGGGCACUAAGUAGAGGGGUUU
rnacentral:rRNA from 1 species